rnacentral:rRNA from 1 species
UACGGGGGGGCAAGCGUUGUUCGGAAUUACUGGGCGUAAAGGGCUCGUAGGCGGCCAACUAAGUCGGACGUGAAAUCCCUCGGCUUAACCGGGGAACUGCGUCCGAUACUGGAUGGCUGGAGGUUGGGAGAGGGAUGCGGAAUUCCAGGUGUAGCGGUGAAAUGCGUAGAUAUCUGGAGGAACACCGGUGGCGAAGGCGGCAUCCUGGACCAAUUCUGACGCUGAGUGAGCGAAAGCCAGGGGAGCAAACGGG